AACGUGCUCACUUUUUCCAGAGCAUGGGGGACAGGAUUAUUCUUGCUGCUUCUCUUCCUAAUUUGGGGAGAUGGACAUCAUGAGCCAGUCUUAAGUUAUAAAGUCACAAAUGGAGUCAGCCUGCCUCACAUAUAUCUGCCCAGUGGCCCUGUCUGUGCUCUUUUUCCCUUCUGAUUGGUAGAAUCCGCAGACUUGAGACUGGGCUAGAGGAUGGACACCAUUGGCCACAGAGAAAUGGAAAGUGACCGAAACUGGGCCAACUAGAGCCUUUAGGAUUUUUUAAACAAAUAGGUCUGAGAAGAUAUUUUGGAGGGACCUAUGGCCACUGUCCCUAUGGAGGAAGGCCAUCUUCAUCUGAAAAGGAAUGGAACCAGUAUACUGAGGAAAGCUGCAGUACAAGGAGGAGUGAGUCCUGGCUGGGUUCCAGUCUCAGGAGCCAGUCACCCCAAAGCCAGCUCUACUUCAGCCACAUGCAGACACAACCAUUCCAUUCUCCCUUUUAUUCUGUGAGGAAUUGCCCUAGAUCCUUUCAAUGAACUACCUUUUUCUUUGUUCAAGUUGGACUUCUGUUGCUUGUAACCCAAAGCAUCCUAAUUCAUUUAUUCUAAAUGCUUUAGAAUAUAUUCAAUUCGAAAGAGGAAAGUUCACAUGUUUUUAAUAAAAUAUACUUGGGGAAAACCCUUUACCUUUA